GGCUGAGCACAUGGCCUUAUGGAUUUCAUGAUUUUCGGCGCUUAACGUGAAAACAGUUAAAGCACAGGAUUCACAAACAUUAAAUUUAUGCUUAAAUCUAUAUGCGAUACAUUAUGCAUAUAAUUAUAAUUCACGAUAAUAUCGCAUAUGGAAGUAGAUCUAACUGGAAUAAAUUUGGACUAUUUCCUUCGGAAGUUUACAGGACUGUCCUGUCAAAAGGCCUCCCUCGUGUUUACAUAUUUUGACAGGUCGAGUUGUUCUGGGACUAGGAACAAUGAUGAAUGAAUACCUGCACCAUGGAAACAAUGUCAUUUGCAAACUUUUUGAACUUGUGCUGGGCGUUCACAUUGACAUUUCUUGUUCAACAGGAAUACAUGAUGUCGACCAACAGUACAGCUAGAUGAAGAUAUAAAUUUAUUCAAAGAAAUAAUGGGACAAUGAAUGCUAAAAUUGCCAAGAAGAAGACUGCCAAUUUACACACCAUUUUAUACAGUUACAGUAUGAUAUGGAGAACAAAAUGCCUCAAUGCAGCCAGUUCUGGAGCUUUGGCUAGACUAUGAACAGUAGACAUCAAAAGAUGAUCAUCUGAAGGGCCACAAUUGUUUAAAGCACUGGUCAACAAAAACUGAACUAUCUGAUGGAUCAUACAUCUGCAGAAUGUACUACCAUAUUUCCAGAAUCAAGAA